rnacentral:rRNA from 1 species
UACGGAGGGUGCAAGCGUUGUUCGGAAUUACUGGGCGUAAAGGGCGCGUAGGUGGUUGUGUAAGUCAGAUGUGAAAUCCUUAGGCUUAACCUGAGAACUGCAUCUGAUACUGCAUGACUCGAGUGCAGCAGAGGGAAACGGAAUUCCUGGUGUAGAGGUGAAAUUCGUAGAUAUCAGGAGGAACACCGGUGGCGAAGGCGGUUUCCUGGGCUGACACUGACACUGAGGCGCGAAAGCGUGGGUAGCAAACAGG